rnacentral:tRNA from 1 species
GAGAAUUUAGUUAAUUCCAUAACAUUAGUAUGUCAAUCUAAAAUUAUCUGAUAAGGUAAUUCUCC